ACAGCCGCAGGAGACCCAUCACCCCACCCUCUCAGGUCAUCUUCUUCGAACCACCUCAUCCCCCAAACGAUUGUCCUUGAUCUCUUUAACAAUCGACGAACCAGACCACUUUUCAACUCCACCUCUCAUCAGAUCGGCAACCAAACAAGCCCAGACCCCGUUGCAACCACUCCCUCUACACUCAAACUCAAUGACCCCUGAAGCUUGUCUUCUUUGACGACGCCAGCCCCACCAGCUCCUACAUUCACUAGGUCUCGCCGGAAAUGGCAAUCAAUGGUGAUGAAAGGCCAUGGAUGUGACUGAAAUCUUCGUUAAUCGUUUGAGUUUUCUGGCCAGGCAUUUGGUUUUCGAGUCGAAGUCCUAGCCGCCGAUUCAAGGUACUAUUCGAAGUCCGAUUUAGUUGUUGCACGUGUUUUGUCUUCAUCGCUGGGUCUUGCGCACAGUUCAGUUCGAACUCAUCUUUGUAAUCAUUGAUUUUACUCAUUUAAAAGAAGCCAUCUCAGGUUCAAUAUCUUUCUCUUUUUUACAUCUGUUUGAUUGUCGAUUGGGAAAAUGUGAUAAGAGUUAUGCUAAUCCAUCUAUAAACAUAGGUCUGUGAGUAAUUUCAAUUGAGGUUGGAUUCGGAGUUAGCAUUUAUUCUCGAUUCAUGAUUGAAAAUUGUAUUUGAUAUGUCAUUUUGCUGCUUGGAAACUUGUAUUCACUGUCCUGAUUUGCCUCGGGCACAUUCAGAUAACAAGAGGCUAAUUUGAAUGUUCGUUUCCUAUGUCUCAGAUGCCUUUAGCUGUUUAUGGUGUUGAAGUAUCUCUUGGGAUUUAAGUUUUCUCGAGUUGAAAUGGACGAUUUGUUCGGCUUCAGGAUUUGUUUGAAUAAGUCUGAACCAGCGACGCAUAUUCUCAUGGUUUUCUGUUUGGUUCUCUGUUUGAUUCUCUUCAUGCCUAAUCAUUCUAUUCUUUUCUUUGGGAUAUGCAUAACAAUUUGUGUAUAGGAGUGUAGAGGGUCUGAACUAAGUUAGGGACAUUUAUUUGUCUGAAAAAAUUCAAAUCUCAACUAUGUUUGAAAUUAAUUAGGAAGCCUUUAAGAUAGCCUAAGAAUUGUUUAAUAAAAGGUGUAUCUCACCUACUUAAGAAGUUGCUAGCACAUGGUAGGAUCAGUCUAGGGAUUAAUUUAAUAAAAAGGGGAUCAGCAAUGCAAAGGACACCCUGUUCAAUACUUUUAAGAGUUGGAAAGUAAGACAACAUGGGGGGAACAUUUCAAAAAGCUGAAAUAAUACAAUUAUAAAGAAAAGAUGAGCUGGAAAGGGGGGACGCUGGAAGUUUAAAAAAGGGAGAACAAUAGGCUUGAAAGAUGGGGGAUACACAAGAGAGAAGGGAAGAGAGAAUUAAGAGCUGGAAAAAAAUCUAGAAACAAGAAGGAAGAAUUACUGUUCCAUUGCAUUUCUUCUCUAUAAUUGGAAGAGGCUUGUAGUUCUCUGAAGAUUGUCUAAGGAUCUGGUGUGGGAAUGGAGUAGAUUUGGUUGUUCGAAGUUUGGUUGUGAAGUUGCUUGGUUAUUGCUCAACUGAAAUAGUUUUCUCUUAUUUCCAAUUCAUUUUCCUGGGUUGAAUUGUUGCUGCUAGUGCUAUUUUUGCCGCUGCGUAUUGCUGACUCCACACUCCUUUUGGCUUUGUUUGUCUUGCUGUUGUAACCAGGUACAUUCCCUUGACUUCUGAUGAUUGUAGGUUUCAUAAUGAAGACGAAAUGAGAAUUGGAAGCAUGACAUCAAAUCUGUGUUGUUCUUUUAUGAUAUUUAUAUGCCUAGUCAUCUAGCCCCAUGUAAUUUAGUUAUUUUUAGUUGGAUUUAACUAAGCUAUUAUUUUAUAAUUGAACUAUGGACUGUUAAGACAAAACUUGACCAAGCAUGAAUGUGGUAUGAAGAGUCAUAACUGAUUAGUUAUAAUGUUAUUGUUUCAAGUAUAGAAUAGAAUGCAUGGUUUUAGUCCAGGAAUUCAGUUUCCAUACUUUGAAGUUUAGAAUUUCAUGGUUAUCGUUGUUUGGUCAUCAGUCUAUGAAACCUGAUUUUGG
rnacentral:lncRNA from 1 species